UACGUAGGGGGGCAAGCGUUGUCCGGAUUCAUUGGGCGUAAAGAGCGUGUAGGCGGCCAGGUAGGUCGGUUGUGAAAAACUGGAGGCUCAACCUUCAGAGGUCGACCGAAACCAUCUGGCUAGAGUCCGGGAGAGGAGAGUGGAAUUCCUGGUGUAAGCGGUGAAAUGCGCAGAUAUCAGGAAGAACACCCGUGGCGAAAGCGGCUCUCUGGAACGGUACUGGACGCUGAGACGCGAAAGCGUGGGGAGCGAACAGG
rnacentral:rRNA from 1 species